GUUUAAAACUGUGUGUUUUAAGUUGGUUUUGGUUUGGUAGUUUGAUAUAUAUUAUGGGUUAGAAGUGUGGGCUUUCAGCACUAUAUUAGUUUAAUUGUUAUACAAUUGUCGUGCAUGAAAUUAAAAGAGUUCUUGAGAGGGGGAAGUCGGUGAAAUUAAAAUUUUAAUAGUUUUUCUUGAUCGAUUGUGUCUAUUAGCUUAUCGCCUUAUUAUUCUGGGUUGAGUUGCGUUAAUGGACGAUUUAAUUUCUCAACAUCAGCAGUUAAAUUUUGCGUAUUAUAGAAAUAUAGAGUAGGGAAUUGUCUUAAGGAGGGAUAAAUGGUGUGCCAGCAUUCGCGGUUAAACACCACCUUCAAAUUAAUAUUUUCGUAGACCAGUAAAGUUUAAAUGGGUUAAAGUUUUAUCGGCAGAUUUAGCGGUGAAAUGCGUAAUAAUCAUAAUCAGACUUUGUGUUUGGUGGUGCUGUGUGUUUUGGGACUUAAAAAAUUUAAGCUGAGGAAGCUGUUAUAAAAGACAAGGAUUAGAUACCCUUUUAUUUACGUCGAAACUAAUUAUCUACGGGUAUAAUGAACGUUUUAAUAUGUUUUAUAACUUAUGAAAGUUGGCGGUAUUUUGUAACCGUUUAGGGGAACUUGGCGUUUAAAUCGAUGAUCCUCGAAAAUCUUACCUUUAAUUUUCCUUUCAUAUCGCCGUUGUUAGUGGGUUUUGAAAAAUUGACUCGCGUCGAACAAAUGUUAAGUUUUUAAUUAUUUUGUAAUAAUUCAGGUAAACAUGUAGGUGUUUUAAAGGGAUUAGCUGAGUUACAAUUAUAAAGUAAAACGGAUGGAAGUCUAUUGACUUAAACCCUAGUUUGGGUUUUUGUUUAAUAUUCUGAAAAGUGUUCCCGAAGGUGGACUUAAUAGUAAAAUUUUUUAUAUGUAAGGAAUUUGAAUAGAGUACGAAAAUGUGUACAAAUCGCCCGGCGUCCUUUUUGUAAAAAGAGGUAAGUCGUAACAUAGUGACGUUAGUAGAAACUGGCGUCGAUGA
rnacentral:ncRNA from 1 species